rnacentral:rRNA from 1 species
AACGAACGUUGGCGGCGUGGAUUAGGCAUGCAAGUCGAGCGAAUCCCAGCAAUGGGGGGAAGCGGCGAAAGGGGGCAGUAAGGCAUGGGUAACCUACCCUGGGGGACUGGAAUAGCCCUUCGAGAGAAGGGGGUAAUACCGGGCGACGAGCAGACAGGGCAUCCUGUUUUCUCCAAAUGAGUUUCGCCCUGGGAGGGGCCCAUGUGAUAUUAGCUAGUUGGUGAGGUAACGGCUCACCAAGGCGAAGAUGUCUAGCGGGUGUGAGAGCACGACCCGCGCCAUUGGCACUGAGAUACUGGCCAAACACCUACGGGUGGCUGCAGUCGAGGAUCUUCGGCAAUGAGCGCAAGCUUGACCGAGCGACGCCGCGUGUGCGAUGAAGGCCUUCGGGUUGUAAAGCACUGUCGAGAGGGAGAAAGGGAAACUUGAUCUAUCUCUGGAGGAAGCACGGGCUAAGGUUCGUGCCAGCAGCCGCGGUAAGAUCACGUGUA